rnacentral:rRNA from 1 species
CCAGUUCAUGUGGAGUCAAUGUUGAAAUACCACUCUGGUCACUCUGGAUAUCUAACUUAGAACCGUAAUCCGGUUCAGGGACAGUGCCUGAUGGGUAGUUUAACUGGGGCGGUUGCCUCCCAAAGAGUAACGGAGGCGCCCAAAGGUUCCCUCAGCCUGGUUGGCAAUCAGGUGUCGAGUGCAAGUGCACAAGGGAGCUUGACUGUGAGACAGACAUGUCGAGCAGGGACGAAAGUCGGGACUAGUGAUCCGGCACCUACUUGUGGAUGUGGUGUCGCUCAACGGAUAAAAGGUAC